UACGGAGGAUGCGAGCGUUAUCCGGAUUUAUUGGGUUUAAAGGGUGCGUAGGUUGUUUUUUAAGUCAGCGGUGAAAGUUUGUGGCUCAACCAUAAAAUUGCCGUUGAAACUGGCGGCCUCGAGUGGGCGAGAAGUAUGCGGAAUGCGUGGUGUAGCGGUGAAAUGCAUAGAUAUCACGCAGAACUCCGAUUGCGAAGGCAGCAUACCGGCGCCCAACUGACGCUGAGGCACGAAAGCGUGGGUAUCGAACAGG
rnacentral:rRNA from 1 species